CUGCCAGUCCAGCCCUAGAUUCUCCUGAAUCCCUGCGGUCCCGGCGUCGCUCCGGACGCUGCCAACCUGUUCUCCACCGUCGCUCGACUUCCACCUCUAAGACUCCCACGAAACUCAGGUUGAAUAAUUCAUCAAAUUACACAACUGACGGAGUCUUGCUCUGUCACCCAGGUUGGAAUGCAAUGGCGCGAUCUCACUGACCGAAACCUCCGCCUCUGAGGUUCAAGUGAUUCUCCUGCCUCAGCCUCCUGAGUAGCUGGGAUUACAGAACUCAAGACAUGGCUGCCCAGUGUGUCACAAAGGUGGCGCUGAAUGUUUCCUGUGCCAAUCUUUUGGAUAAAGAUAUAGGGUCAAAGUCAGACCCUUUAUGUGUGUUAUUUUUGAAUACAAGUGGUCAACAGUGGUAUGAGGUUGAGCGCACAGAAAGGAUUAAGAAUUGCUUGAAUCCCCAAUUUUCCAAGACAUUUAUUAUUGAUUACUACUUUGAAGUGGUUCAGAAAUUGAAAUUUGGGGUUUAUGACAUCGACAACAAAACUAUUGAGCUGAGUGAUGAUGACUUCUUAGGGGAAUGUGAAUGUACCCUUGGACAAAUUGUUUCCAGCAAGAAGCUAACUCGACCACUGGUGAUAAAAAAUGGCAGACCUGCAGGAAAAGGGAGCAUUACGAUUUCAGCUGAAGAAAUAAAAGAUAAUAGAGUGGUCUUGUUUGAAAUGGAAGCCAGAAAACUGGAUAAUAAGGAUCUAUUUGGAAAGUCAGACCCAUACCUGGAAUUCCACAAGCAGACAUCUGAUGGAAACUGGCUAAUGGUUCAUCGGACAGAGGUUGUUAAAAACAACUUGAAUCCUGUUUGGAGGCCUUUCAAGAUCUCUCUUAACUCACUGUGUUAUGGAGAUAUGGACAAAACCAUUAAGGUGGAGUGUUAUGAUUAUGACAAUGAUGGGUCACAUGAUCUCAUUGGAACAUUUCAAACCACCAUGACAAAACUGAAAGAAGCCUCCAGAAGCUCACCUGUUGAAUUUGAAUGCAUAAAUGAGAAAAAAAGGCAAAAGAAAAAAAGCUACAAGAAUUCAGGUGUUAUCAGUGUGAAACAGUGUGAGAUUACAGUAGAAUGCACAUUCCUUGACUAUAUAAUGGGAGGAUGUCAGCUGAAUUUUACCGUGGGAGUGGACUUCACUGGCUCCAAUGGUGACCCAAGGUCUCCAGACUCCCUUCAUUACAUCAGCCCCAAUGGCGUUAAUGAGUAUUUGACUGCUCUCUGGUCUGUGGGACUGGUCAUUCAGGAUUAUGAUGCUGAUAAGAUGUUUCCAGCUUUUGGUUUUGGCGCUCAGAUACCUCCUCAGUGGCAGGUAUCACAUGAAUUUCCAAUGAACUUCAACCCAUCCAAUCCCUACUGCAAUGGCUGGAGUGCAAUGGCACGAUCUCGGCUCACUGCAACCUCCUCCUCCCGGGUUCAAGCAAUUCUCCUGCCACAGCCCGCUCCCCCCCGCAACCGAGUAGCUGGGAUUACAGGCGCCUGCCACCAUGCUCGGCUAAUUUUUGUAUUUUUAGUAAAGACGGGGUUUCACCAUGUUGGCCAGGCUGGUCUAGAACUGCUGACCUCCUGUGAUCUACCUGCCUCUGCCUCCCGAAGUGCUGAGAUUAUAGGCAUGAGCCACCGUGCCCAGCCCUAAAUGAAUUAUUUAUACCUUUGUUACUACUGGACUGACUACUAGUAACAUGGACCUUAUGCAUGUAAAAUCACCCCUGCAUAUGAAUUAGUUAUGUUCUCAAAGGUUGUUCAUAAGACUACCUGUUCCUAAGUUCAAAGAAACUAAGAGGAGUUUAUUGGAACUCUUACAUUUUAAGAGAAGAGAGUUGGUUUCCUGAAGCUUUCAAGCCAAGUAUGGUCAUGCACUAAAAAUGACAUUUUAGUCAAGGACAGACCACAUGUAUGACAAUAGGCCCAUAAGAUUUUAAUAUUUUAUUUUUACUGUAAAGACAUAGAAAAGGUACAGUUGCUAUAAUUGCCUACAUUAUUCAGCAUAGCAAUAUGCAGUACAGGUUUUUAACCUAGGAGUAAUAGGCUAUACCAUCUAGGUUUGUGUAAGUAUACUCUAUGAUGUUCAUAUGAUGAUGAAAUCACCUAACGAUGCAUUUCUCGGAAUUUAUCCCCAUUGGUAAGUGACACAUGACUGUAUAUGCUUCUCUUUUUUGUUGAUCUGUGUUCUCUUAGACAUUUUAAAAGCAAGAUACCUGUUUUGAUUUACAUUAAGUUUUUUUUGUGUGUGUGUGGCAAGUAUCUGUGAUGAUCUCAGCAAGUAUUGUUGGAAAUUCUUUAGAAUUUCUGUUAUCCUGUCUGCAUCCUAAAUGCUGUGAUAUUAAGGGCAGAUUCAACAGGUGCUUGUGUGGGAUACAAGUUUCAUCAGCAGAGCUUUGACCAGCAAUGUCAGUCAACUUUCAUUGGGUUGUGCUGUUGUAAUAAACAAUCUCUAAAUCUCAGUGGCUUUAAUGACAACAGUUUAUUUCUUGCUCAUUUUACAUGCAGCUAGGCUGGAGUUCUCUCCAUGUUUCUUAUAUUGGGACUCAGGCUGAAGGAACAGCCUUAUCUGGGAUGUGCUGCUCCUACGGCAGAGGAAAGGAGCAAGAGAGCUGGAAAAAACAGGCAGUAGUUCUUAAGACAUCUCCUUAGGCAUGGGUGUCACAUGCAUUGGUCAAAGCUAAUCAAAUGGUCCUGUCCAACUUUCUAUUAUAAAAUGCACCAGCAGGUCUAGGGGUAAUACCCCUAAACAAACACAUCAGUGCUUCUGCAGCAAAAUGGAUAAGUAACCUGGAAGUGAAUAUUUGGAACUAAUGCAGUCUGUGAUACAAUGAUUAACCUUUAACUUAUUGAAUAAACACUUGUAUCAGUUAAUUAACUAGAAUUAAUAUUAGGUUUAUCGCCAUCUGGUAUUUUUGUAGAACCUCUGGCCAUAUAUGCAAAUGAUUUUUCAUUUUAUUAAUAACUCUUUCUUACCUUUCAUCAUCAGUUGUAUGAUGUGAAACCUUUUUCAUGGUUUUCUAUCAGAGCCACAUUCCCAACAUGUAUUAAAAAUUAAGCACAGAUGUAACAGUCCUACCGUAGACUAAUAAGUAAUUUGACUGAGAUGAAAGUAAAUCCCUUCUAUUGGGGGAGGACAGAGCUUAUAGGUUUUUGCAAUGGAUCAUACCUAUGGAGUUAUGUAAUACAUAGCUUAGAGGAACUACUGCUUAUAGAACUUUUGACUAUUUAAAGCACUAUAUGUUGAUACAUAUAAUCAAAUUAGCCAGUAUUGUGAAUAAACACAUUGUGCUUGAGAAUUUUUAGUACUGUUUUUUAUUUGUUUGUUUGUUCUAGGAAUCCAAGGCAUUGUAGAGGCGUAUCGGUCUUGUCUUCCUCAGAUAAAACUCUAUGGACCAACUAAUUUUUCUCCAAUCAUAAAUCACGUGGCCAGGUUUGCUGCUGCAGCCACGCAACAGCAGACAGCUUCUCAAUAUUUUGUGCUUUUGAUUAUUACUGAUGGUGUGAUCACAGACCUUGAUGAAACCAGACAAGCUAUAGUUAAUGCCUCCAGGCUGCCUAUGUCCAUCAUAAUUGUUGGAGUUGGAGGUGCUGACUUCAGCGCCAUGGAGUUUCUGGAUGGUGAUGGUGGAAGUCUCCGCUCCCCAUCGGGCGAAGUGGCCAUCAGAGAUAUUGUCCAGUUUGUGCCUUUCAGACAGUUCCAGAAUGCUCCAAAAGAAGCACUUGCUCAGUGUGUCUUGGCAGAGAUUCCCCAGCAGGUGGUGGGCUACUUCAAUACAUACAAACUCCUUCCUCCCAAGAACCCAGCCACGAAACAACAGAAGCAGUGACCACUUCAACAGAAUUCUUUUGUGUUAUGUGGAGCAAUGCCAUCUCUCACCCCAAAUCAUGUAUCUGUCAUUCUAUGUACUUUUUACCCCCAGCAUUUAUGAUGUAAAUCUCUUUCUCUAUGGAUUAUAUCUGUUUAAAGCAUUCUUUCUAGGUUAUUUUGGGGGGACAGUGCCAAGUCCAUCUUUGCCCAAUCAAUUCAGUGAUUGAUAGCGAUUUACAUUAAUUGCAGUAAAGCUCUUUGGAUUAGAAAUUAGUGUGGGGAAAGCUUAUUCUGUUGUUGUUUUUGUUUACUUUCAUAUGAUGAAAAUGCUGUUUUUAAGUGUUUGUCAAUAGGAAGAAUGGAAAACUGUCGGGAUGAUGUGGUUUGCAGGUUGCUGUGCCUGAUUCACAGUGUAUGUUGUAUAAGCCAAUGUCCAUACCUGAUUAUGAGAGCUUCUUAAAUUAUAUGAUAUCAAAUUUGUUCCUGUUACUCUGUAUACAGUGCUUUUCUGCAAGGUAAAAAUUACCUGUCUGUGCAUCUGAUUUUUGCUACAGUUUAGACCCUGUGGUUUACAAAACAGCAUGCACUCAACUUGGGACUUUAUGAAAAGUACUGAAUGAGCAGGAAAAAGCACAUACUCAGUUUUUUAAAUGUACAAUCAACAAGUAAAAAUAACCUCAUGUAAGUAAGCCAUUUUUAUUUGCCUUUCUAGAUAUUUUAUUUUAUUGUGGAAAACUGUAAACAUGGUCAGAUUUGGCUUUUUUUUUUUCAUUAACUGAGCAAGACUUUCAGGAUAUUGUAGAUGCACGGAUGGUAGGUUGUCCUGAAUUCUACAUUAUUAGAUUACUUUAAUUGAGAUUUGUUAAAAUGGUUAGGACUGUUUUGUCCAGGAAAGAUAAGAGGACCAAACAUAUAAGGUGAAAUUCAGAAUUCCAUUUCCUUCUAACUAAUGAAAAACUGCUUACUAAAAAAAAAUUUUAUACUUUCCUUGCUAAGGUCCCAUACACUGAUUUGUACAGAUCCACUUAGUCAUUUUCUCCUUUUUUUAAGUACCAUUUUCAUCUCAUUUUUAAACUCACGAUACCAGUUAUCUGUUAAUCAAAAUUGCAUUUUACAAUUUAAUAAUGUGCUAUUUCCUAUGUCUACAGCAUACCUUAUUAGGUAUAAAACCUACUGCAACUUAGAAAAAGGAAAGAAAAAAGAAAACUUUUCCAACUGCUGCAUUAAGAUAGGGUGGAUUUUAUAUGCUUUUCUUUUUUAAGAGUUGAAUUUCUUUUCCUGACUUUUACCUUUUACAGCGUAUUACUUAGUGAACAUUACAUUUUCAGAAUAGAUCCUAAUAUUUUAUUGAGGGCCUAUGUGCUAAAAACUAUGCAUAUCUAUAUAUUGGCCAAUUAUCUUUAAUAAUUUACCUUUUGAAAUUGCAUGUUUAUCAUAUAUCCUUAAGGGGACACAUACAGUGCCAUGUUGAUGUGCCUCUCAGUUUUAUUGAAAAGCUGCCCCACAGCCCAUGUCUCUUGUUCUCUGCAAUGCCUCAAGGGAGUGAGCUCUCAACCACAGACAGCUGUGGCUUCUCAGAAGCAGCUCAUUGCCAAGGCCAGGCUGAGAGGGGACCUGCUUGCUGUGGUGGUUGCCUAGCCCAGGUGAGCAUUUACCUACCACCUUCCCCCUUGGCUAGCUGUCCUUUGGAUAUGUGCUGUUAACUGGGGAAGGCAUCUAACUAGUAGCCUGCUACUCCAUAGUAUGGCUCAAUAGAUGACACAUCAUUUUGACAUUAUCAAUAGGAGAAAAGAAAACUAACCCUUCUUCUGAUUGUUUGGAGCCAUAGUUGUCUCAGAUGUUCUAAUUCUCUUUGUAUGCUUGGAAACAGCAUAGAUAUGUUGCUGUGGUUUUCAGAAUUUUCUCUUUUAAUCACAAGAAGCCUUUUAAAAAAUGACUUACACAUAUUCUCAAUGUACAGUAAAACAGACAGAAGUGAGCUUAUCUGUUUGAUGCUGUGGCAGGGUCCCAGUCACUGGGCGUAUCCUCCUUCUCCUUAACCAGCUCCUCAGCAGCCCCUGAGUCACCUGCACAAGGUACUUGGGAACUGCUGGUCAUGAGCAUUCCUGGUUUUCUUCAGCCAAAUAACAGUUAAUCACUGUCAAUUGGAUUUGGUCUUCAUUAUUUUAUAUUCUGAUUUUAUCAGAAUUAUUCUAUUUUAAAAUUGUUUUAAAAUUUAAAAACAUUUAAUUCAUGAUCAUGUUCAUCAGUAGAUGCUAUUAUUCAUAAGAACUGUGAUUCCAGCAAACUAGGGUAAUUGGUGCCUUUUUACAGUUUUGAAUAAAAGCAUUUACAAUUUCUAAAUUAUCAGUUUUCACAGUUUCAGCACUCAACCUCAUCAAACGCUGAUUUAAUAUUGUUUUACAUUAAAAUAGUCCUUUUCCCUGUUGUGCCACCAUUCAUUUAAGUGCUGUUUGUUCUUAAAAUGCAUUUAAAGAAAAAUUACCCAUAUUGACUUUCACACCUCAUAUAAUCAGAUCUAUUACAAAUAUAUAUCGGAGUGACGGUGCCCAGGAUAGAUGUAAUAUUUCUUACAGAUGCUGGCACAGAGGAAAUAAUAUACCAGCUAAUCUAGUCACCUAACCUUGUGGUUAGAAUUGCAAUUUUAAGACCAGAAAAAUUUGAAGUCUGAUCAGAGAUUUACAACUGUUCAUUAUAGUGGUGCCUUAGGCAAUCUUUCCAAAGUAAAUUCAGGGCUCCAUUGCUACUUAUGCCAUAUUUGGACAUACUUUUUUUUCUUCAAUUUUGUAAACUUCCUGGAAAGCUGUCUUCACUAAGUAUCCCCUAGUCUCUAUAUGUGUGGUUAGUAGUCAUGGAAAUGACACAUAAAGUACGCCAGAAGUUUGAUGGAACGUGUUAGAAACUGUUUUGUGCUUUUAUGGAUGUCAUACUUGACAAUACAUGUGUAAGUUACUAAUAUAUGAAUUGAUGCUAAAUAUAUCUUACAUUCGAAUUCCUUUUGGAUAAAGUUAUUUCUUGAUGUGA